AUUGAACGCUGGCGGCAGGCCUAACACAUGCAAGUCGACCGAGUGGCGGACGGGUGAGUAAUGUCUAGGACACUGCCAUAUGGAGGGGUAUAACUACUGGACACGGUGGCUAUUACCGCAUACCAUCGGAUGUUCCCAGAUGGGAUUAGCUAGUAGGUGGGGUAAAGGCUCACAGAGGCGACGAUCCCUAGCUGGUCUGAGAGGAUGAUCAGCCACACUGGAACUGAGACACGGGCCAGACUCCUACGGGAGGCAGCAGUGGGGAAUAUUGCACAAUGGGCGCAAGCCUGAUGCAGCCAUGCCGCGUGUAUGAAGAAGGCCUUCGGGUUGUAAAGGACUUUCAUCGGGGAGGCGUUACCCGCAGAAGAAGCACCGGCUAACUCCGUGCCAGCAGCCGCGGUAAUAC
rnacentral:rRNA from 1 species